AGUAAAGUAACACAUUACUUUUUGAAAUUGGGUAAUAUUAUUAUAGUUACUUUGUCAAACAAUGCGUGCAUUACUUUCAGAAUCUUAUCUCUACCUGGCGCAUUUCCAUGAUCCGAUCUCGACUUCUUUCCUCAUUUAGAAAGGCUGUUUGGAGAAAUGUCAUGACAGCUGCUGUCCAUAGAAAUGUAUAGAGGGCACACCUUUGAUAUUUAUCAUUGAUAGCAAAGAACAUAGAGGGCUUUCCCAUCUACUGGCCCUCUAUACAUCUCUACGGGUCUGUGUGUGUGCAGUCUAUAACCAGAGCAGGCGGCUCGAGACAGAUUUUCAAUGACAAAAUAGGAAAUCUGUACAGAUGUUGGCUAACAUUAUAUAUGGCUAAUUAAGCAGCCCAUAUGAUAGCACAGAACUUGUAAACUAACAAAGGAAAGCAGCACCAUAGAUGAAAUGAGAAACUGGUGAUCAAACCUGAGUUUGAUCGGGUCGGUAGCACUACUAUUUAUUGACUACAGCUCAGCGUUCAACACCAUAGCGCCCUUUUACGCUGCUGCUACUCUGUUAUUGUCUAUGCAUAGUCACUUUAAUAACUCUACCUACAUGUACUAUAUUACCUCAAUUACCUCGAUUAACCUGUGCCCCCGCACAUUGAUUCUGUAGCGGUACCCCAUGUAUAUAGCCUCGUUACUGUUACUUUACUGCUGCUCUUUAAUUAUUUGUUACUUUUUUUUCGUACUUUUUUUUGGUAUUUUUCUUAAAACUGCAUUGUUGGUUAAAAGGGCUUGUAAGUAAGCAUUUCACUGUAAGGCCUACACCUGUUGUAUUCGGCGAAUGUGACAAAUAACAUUUUGCUUUAUUUGAUCUUUGGUAGAAUGCACAUGCCUCGCCUUGCUCCCUCCCACAGUCAAACAAACGGUGUCUCCUGUUUUCCCCAUUAGUCCCCGGUGUAUUUAUCCCUGUGUUUCCUGUCUCUCUGUGCCAGUUCGUCUUGUUUUGCCAAGUCAACCAGCGUUUCUCCUAGCUCCUAUUUUUCCUAGUCUCUGUUUUUUCCUAACCCUCCUGGUUUUGACCCUUGCCUGCCCUGACGCCGAAUCCGCCUGCCUGACCACUGCCUGUUUUGACCUCGAGCCUGCCUAUCCCCUUGUACUGUUUGGACUCGGACCUGUUCACUGAACCCCUGCCUGUCCUGACCUCGAGCUUGCCUAUCCCCUGGUACUGUUUGGACUCGGACUUGGUUUAUGAACUCGUCUGUCCCCGACCUGCCUUUUGCCUACCCCUUUUGGUAUAAUAAAUAUCGGAGCUCAACCA
rnacentral:lncRNA from 1 species